AUGCGCUUGCGUAGCGGAAGAUGUCUCGCGAGGGGAGACGAGCGAACAGCUCCAGUACGAGAUCCUGGGAGAGCUCCUCCUCCGAUCCCUCCUCCUCCGAUCUCUUUCUCUUCUUCCUCCCGGCCUCCUCCUGGACAGGUGGCUUCUUCCCUGAAUCCAUGGCGAAACUGGCGAAACCUAGCGGUUGUCAGCUCUGACGAGAUACGAAUCCCCCUGCGCGGCUGCGCCUCGUGUAUUUAUAAGGAAUCGCAGCCACGGAAAAGGUUUUCCUUUCUUUUGUUUAGUAUAGGGAAUCAGAAAAGAAAAAAGUUCGGGGGUACUAGCCGUAGGACUACCUAUUCUUUUCCCUCCAUUGCACUGCUUCCUUACCAUAUACCCCGUUCCUAA
rnacentral:rRNA from 1 species